CGCAUGUUUCAGCACCGUGUUGAAAGAGAACGCCGUUCUAUUCUCUCCUGCAGUUCGGCAAAACUACUACCUACAUUUUGUGUUAUACAAGGAAUCGUUGUCUUAACAGGACACGUAAGAAUUCAACACACAGUGAUGGGAGGAGCAGAAGAAACAUCUCGAAUGAGCCCAUCUCACAUGCCGUCCGGCUGGCCGGCAAAGGAGAUACGUGGUAUCAUCUGUCCCAGUGCGCCCCGGUGAAGGUUUCCUGCCAGGAACCAGAUCCGCCAUCAACAGCGUCCCCGCCCCCGGUACAAACAGAGGCAGAAUAAUCCUCUUCCCCCUUGGUGGCCAGGUCGUCCACCCUGAGCCACUGAAGACAACGACCACGCAGCAGAUAUUUCCAAGUUCUCCCCGGACGGAGCAGAUCUGCGAAGGGGGUGAGAAUCGUGCUCACCCUCCACCAGUGGGCGUGCCAAGCCCCCAACGGCUGAACAAUCACGAGCAAUUUUUAUCUUGAUUGAUAACAGUCUGGUCGCCUAAGGCAGAGGGACCGUGUAACUCUUUUCCUGCAUUUAAUCUGGCCGCAGGUUUUUAAAUUGGACAUACUUUGGACUGGAGUAUUGAGGGAAAAACCUCACUGGAAGUUAUUGCUUUCAUUGUAUUUUCUUACUUAUGUUUGAUUGUUCGGGUUUGACAUAAUCAUAUGAUAAAACAGGAGGGAUAUGUUAGGGUUUGCAGAAUAUCUUCAUCGUAUGAUUAUGUUGGAAUGUAACCUGUAAUAAUUUAACGAGUUUGUCCUGUCUAGACAAAAUUAGUUUACCAAAGUGCUAAGAUCCUUUCAACUGAUUGACUAGACGCAGAGGAAGCAAUCAAAGUUGCUUUGUUUACAGAAAGUCGUAAAAGGCCACCUGCUAUGCUUUGAUCAGCAGGGGAGCGUCUCCACCCUAUCCUGUGUGUUCCAACACCCCCACUUUCAACCCCACUCUGUUUCUCUCAAUAAAUAAGCACCUGACGAGGCCUGAGUCAGACUUCAUUCGACCAUCGCUGUAAGCACAGCGACGAGUGAACUCGCCGCCUGCAGGUGUCUAAAAUGACUAA